rnacentral:lncRNA from 1 species
AAUUACUUAUAAUUAAAAGAAAUAAAAACAACUAAAAUUGGAAAUAAAACUAAUUUUAUUAAUGAAAAUAAUUAUACAAAAUAUUAAAAACACACCUGGAAAUCAAGAUUACAAGGAGAUGGAGAGAAUUUGAGAAGAAGAGAGUUGUAGAGAGAUGAUUAAAACAUAAAAAUGAGGCCUUAUUUAUAGAAAAAUAAAUUCAUAAUCUAGUGCUUUGCGGUCCAUCAUAGGCUUCAUGCAUGU